rnacentral:rRNA from 1 species
AAUAGAUACCAGGUAGUCCACGCCGUAAACGUUGGGCGCUAGAUGUGGGGACCAUUCCACGGUUUCCGCGUCGUAGCUAACGCAUUAAGCGCCCCGCCUGGGGAGUACGGCCGCAAGGCUAAAACUCAAAGGAAUUGACGGGGGCCCGCACAAGCGGCGGAGCAUGCGGAUUAAUUCGAUGCAACGCGAAGAACCUUACCAAGGCUUGACAUAUGCGAGAACGCUCUAGAAAUAGAGAACUCUUUGGACACUCGUAUACAGGUGGUGCAUGGUUGUCGUCAGCUCGUGUCGUGAGAUGUUGGGUUAAGUCCCGCAACGAGCGCAACCCUCGUCGCAUGUUGCCAGCACGUAAUGGUGGGAACUCAUGUGAGACUGCCGGGGUCAACUCGGAGGAAGGUGGGGAUGACGUCAAAUCAUCAUGCCCCUUAUGUCUUGGGCUUCACGCAUGCUACAAUGGCCGGUACAAAGGGCUGCGAAACCGCAAGGUGGAGCGAAUCCCAAAAAGCCGGUCUCAGUUCGGA